ensembl:lncRNA
CUGCAUUAGCAGUCUAAAGGGCCAUGAUGAAAGGGGGGGAAGAAAAGAGAAUGAAAAGGGUAAGAAAAUGUGUUAUUAUAAUGAAUGAAGAAAAAACAUGCACAAUAAAAAAAAAAAACACUGGAUUUUGCAAUGGAGACAGACAACGGGCAUGGAGGUUUGAUGGUUUAAUAGCGGCGGAGGAGAGUGCGAGCGACGGAAGAAGGCAUAGGAUCUUACCAUGUUAGCCCGGCGCUGGCGGUGGCGGCGGGGACGACUAAGGAUGACUUGGUGGUUCCAGUAUGUCAUGACCAGCUUGUUAGAAUGGCAGCCGUGCACAAGACGGCCAGGAGAGGAAAAGGGCUCCUGAAGGUGGUCCGGUGGUCUCAGGGCUGUAGCGCGUCCCGUUGUGGAAGCAGUCGCCAUCUUUGUCCCGUUGUUUGUCUUGGAUAUCCUCUUCUGCCUCUUCAUCCCCUCCCUGGUGCCUUUGAUCAUGCCACCCCUCCCUUGCUCUCUGCCGUAUGACAUCAUCACGCAGCGGUAUCGACAAUCAUCAAAGAAAGUCCCCGCGUGAGACUGUAUGUCCAUCUGGGCGUACACGUAUGAGGAAAAAAGUUUUCCAAAGGCCCUUACACAAGAACCUCCACCAAGCGCGGGCUCUUCAGUUUGACAGUACAACACUGUAUGAAGAAAGCCACAGCAGCAUGUAAAAAGAAACAACUCCAGACUUGGUCCAUCACACAACGACUCCAUCGCAGAGACCCUCAUUCGUGCAUUCAUCAACUCCCACCUUGAAUACUGUAAUGGAGCCCUAUUUUAAGGCUCCGAACCAAGCCCUAGAUAUGAGCUCCAGUACUUCCAGAAGUCUGCUGCAUGAUUUCCUAUCCACACUAAAACCUGGUAGCACAUCAGCCCCAACCUUAUCCACUGGCAGCCAGUCAAGCCCUGUUUCACCUGGUCAAGGUCCUCUGCCUCACCUGUAUACAAGUCCCUUCAUGCCCUUGCCUCCCAGUACCUAUUUACCCCCUCCCGAAGUCUGUUCUUCUGGCACUGGACAGCUCACCAGCCCUCCCACCAGCUUGUGUCUUUGGCGGACAGAGCUUUCAGGGUGGCUGCUGCCACCAACCUCUGGAACUCCCUUCCUCGAGAGAUCCAAAAUUCUGGGUCCACCAACCCUGUACGAGUGGGUCCACUAAACGCUGUUAAGUGGACCAAGCCUAAAGACCCAUCUUUUUGGUCUCAAUUAUGUUAAUUCUGUUUUAAUUGUUUAACCCUAUAUGUACAAUGCCCUGGGUGUCCUGAAAGGCACUAUAUUAAUAUGUUUUAUGAUUUGCCAUCUUUUUAUUAUUCAUUCACUUCCAUAGUUCAUAAAAACAUAUGCAAUCAUUGAUAUUCAAAUGACAACCUCCUACUUACUACAAUAAGUAUUAUUGUAAUUUCAGAAACAUGAAUAUAUAGUUAUUUUCAGAAAAAACUCCCUUUACUGCCCACAAAUCUUGGUGACACUCUAAAUAUGCUGAAUCCAGUAAUUGUUUAUUCGCUCUGCUGGGGAAAAUAUAAAUAUUUACAAUCAACAUGAGCUAGCCUGGUUCAACCUGUAGAGCUGAAUAGGUUGCAGAAAUAACGGCAAACUGGCUGUGCAGCAUUGAUAAGCAUUUCUCAUUAAACCAAAACCAUCUGCCAUUCACACAAUGACAUACCCUGCAAAUGAGCAAUAGAAGCUCACUCUGAGUGAAGCAAAAAUGCAGGCACACACACACACACACACACACACACACACACACACACACACACACACACACACACACACACACACAUACAUGCAAACACACACACACAAAAUCACAAACAAGCACACUUAGUGACACACAGGGACACACACACACACUUGCAGUCUAAAUAUAUGUUAUUUUUUCAACUAAACUGGGACAGAUCACUAGAUAAUAUUAUAUAAUUGGAAUUAUUUAGACAUGCCCUUGGUGACAUAAGCCCCACAUUUCACCUCAGAAAGAGAGAGAGAGAGAGAGAGGAGAAUUCCUCAUGGCUGAGGUGAGAUUACAGUCUGGGUGACAGAAGACAAAUGAGCCCCUAGAGAGCCUCAUAAAGGUCAGGUAUGGAACCAGACGGAUGGCUGUUAAUCCUGACCCCAGGGAGCCACUGCACAUCCGCCCGGGAAUGCAAGUGUUACACAUGGCUGUGACAUUUAACCUGUAUGAGCUGACAAUUGUAGGUGCCAAAAAUGUACACAUUUCUCUAGGCCUGUAGUCAGACAAAAUGUCGGCUCCAUUUCUCACAGGAGCAAUUAUACGAGUGGAG